rnacentral:rRNA from 1 species
CCUACGGGAGGCAGCAGUGAGGAAUAUUGGUCAAUGGACGAGAGUCUGAACCAGCCAAGUAGCGUGAAGGAUGACUGCCCUAUGGGUUGUAAACUUCUUUUAUAUGGGAAUAAAACGUUCCACGUGUGGGAUUUUGUAUGUACCAUAUGAAUAAGGAUCGGCUAACUCCGUGCCAGCAGCCGCGGUAAUACGGAGGAUCCGAGCGUUAUCCGGAUUUAUUGGGUUUAAAGGGAGCGUAGGUGGAUUGUUAAGUCAGUUGUGAAAGUUUGCGGCUCAACCGUAAAAUUGCAGUUGAAACUGGCAGUCUUGAGUACAGUAGAGGUGGGCGGAAUUCGUGGUGUAGCGGUGAAAUGUUUAGAUAUCACGAAGAACUCCGAUUGCGAAGGCAGUUCACUGGACUGCAACUGACACUGAGGCUCGAAAGUGUGGGUAUCAAACAGGAUUAGAUACCCGAGUAGUC